rnacentral:lncRNA from 1 species
CCCUCUCCCCAGGCCAUUCCUGCGUCCUGCCUCCUCCCCUCAGGAUCCCCUGCCCGAGCUUCAGGCUGACUGAGCCAGGAACACAGGGGAAGUGGAGGCCUAACCACCGAGGGCUACAAGGAAACAGUAUUGUUCAAACCCAGCAGGCAGUUGCACAUACGGAUCCAUAGUGGUCCUGGCAGCUUGCACAAGACCCACAAAAGCUCAAAAAAUUAGACAAGAUCUCAGCGUGGCUAGAGGAGGUGCUAGGGACGUUCCACCCCUAACUGAAGAAAUAUUGGCAACUGGUAGCUUCUGAGAGAGGAGAGUCUGUUUACAGUUAUGCCCCUCACAAACUGAACAGAACGGGGCAGGGCAGGCACAAAACUGGAAGCUACCAGUUGCCAAGAUCAGGCACUCCAGGAUCUUCACCCCUCCGAAGUCUCAGAUAAAUCAAGAGAGGACUCAAGCCCCAGCAGAGGCAAACUGGCUGCCCUGGAAGACCUGCUGCAGCCUCUGGCUUCUUCAGCUCAGCUUCACCAUGGCGAUGACCAGAGGAAUGAGGAUCCCCCACCUUCAUAACUACUUCUAAUAUUGCAGAAAGGAGGGCUGGCGAGAGAGCUCAGCAGAUAAGAGGAUCCAUUGCUCUUCCAGACGACCUGGGUUUGAUAACCACCACAUGCAUGCAUGACAACUCACUACUGUAACUACAUUUCCAGAGGGUCCAAUGCCCUCCUCUAGCCUCUGUGGGCACAUGACAUGCAUGUGGUGCACAGGCAAAGCACCCAUAUGCAUGAAAUAAAAUAAAUACAUCUUUAAA